AUAGCGUAUAUUAAAGUUGUUGCAGUUAAAAAGCUCGUAGUUGGAUUUCUGGGAGGGUGCCAAUGUCCGCCGACGUGCGUGCGCAGUGGCGCCCUUCCAUCCUUCUGUUAACGCCUCUUGGCAUUCGUUUGCUGGUGGCGGGCUCAGAUAUUUUACCUUGAGAAAAUUAGAGUGUUUCAGGCAGGCUAGGCCGGAAUACAUUAGCAUGGAAUAAUGGAAUAGGACUACGGUCUCUUUGUUGGUUUGAGGGACUGCAGUAAUGAUUAAUAGGGAUAGUUGGGGGCAUUAGUAUUUAAUUGUCAGAGGUGGAAUUCUCGGAUUUGUUAAAGACUAACUUAUG
rnacentral:rRNA from 1 species